GCCGAAGUGGCGGAAUUGGUAGACGCAGGGGACUCAAAAUCCCCCGCCCUUAAAAGCGUGUGGGUUCGAGUCCCACCUUCGGCACCA
rnacentral:tRNA from 1 species